rnacentral:rRNA from 1 species
UACGGAGGGUGCGAGCGUUAAUCGGAAUUACUGGGCGUAAAGCGCGCGUAGGUGGAUUGGUCAGUCAGAUGUGAAAGCCCAGGGCUCAACCUUGGAACUGCACCUGAUACUGCCAGUCUAGAAUACGGUAGAGGGUAGUGGAAUUUCCUGUGUAGCGGUGAAAUGCGUAGAUAUAGGAAGGAACACCAGUGGCGAAGGCGACUACCUGGACCGAUAUUGACACUGAGGUGCGAAAGCGUGGGGAGCAAACAGG